rnacentral:rRNA from 1 species
UACGAAGGGGGCUAGCGUUGUUCGGAUUUACUGGGCGUAAAGCGCGUGUAGGCGGGUCGUUAAGUUGGGGGUGAAAUCCCGAGGCUCAACCUCGGAACUGCCUUCAAAACUGGCGACCUGGAGCAAAGAAGAGGCGAGUGGAAUUGCGAGUGUAGAGGUGAAAUUCGUAGAUAUUCGCAGGAACACCAGUGGCGAAGGCGGCUCUCUGGGACGGUACUGACGCUGAGACGCGAAAGCGUGGGGAGCAAACAGG